rnacentral:rRNA from 1 species
AUUGAACGCUGGCGGCAUGCCUUACACAUGCAAGUCGAACGGCAGCACGGGUGCUUGCACCUGGUGGCGAGUGGCGAACGGGUGAGUAAUACAUCGGAACAUGUCCUGUAGUGGGGAAUAGCCCGGCGAAAGCCGGAUUAAUACCGCAUACGAUCUACGGAUGAAAGCGGGGGACCUUCGGGCCUCGCGCUAUAGGGUUGGCCGAUGGCUGAUUAGCUAGUUGGUGGGGUAAAGGCCUACCAAGGCGACGAUCAGUAGCUGGUCUGAGAGGACGACCAGCCACACUGGGACUGAGACACGGCCCAGACUCCUACGGGAGGCAGCAGUGGGGAAUUUUGGACAAUGGGCGAAAGCCUGAUCCAGCAAUGCCGCGUGUGUGAAGAAGGCCUUCGGGUUGUAAAGCACUUUUGUCCGGAAAGAAAUCCUUGGCCCUAAUACGGUCGGGGGAUGGCGGUACCGGAAGAAUAAGCACCGGCUAACUACGUG